GACAUUCGAAUCCCUCCCCACAGAGCGCAGUCCUCAGGGAGCGGCCCUCCCUGCCUCCCCUGCCCAGUCCCUCCAUGGUCUGCCCUUCCUGCUCCUGCGUCCUCACCAAUUACUCAUCCCAGCGCUCCUUCCAAUCCACCGACCUCUUCUCAUGGCCUGGCCUGUGCCAGGCACACACAUUUUCCUCAUCGCUUUCCCUCCCGUCUCCUGGACCCACUGCGCCUCACUCUCCAGCAUCUCCUCCAAUGUUCCUCCUCCUGGAGGCUUCCCCUGUCCAUCCCAUCCAAGGCCUGAAACCUGUCCUCUCAGUUCCCAAGGGCAGCUCUUCCACCUUAUAGUUUAAUUUUUGUCAAGUUUUCUGAAACCCUAUUGGACAGAAGCAUCACAGAACAUGGCAACUUUGUCUAUGGUGUCUCUGAGCCCCACACAUGUCCUGGACAAAAAGCAACUCUGAAAAUUCUCUGACGAUAAUCGGAAAACAUUUGCUGUGUGGAGUUGUAUGCACAAAUUUUCGGAGUGGCGUUUUUCUUUUUAACUGAAGAAGCAAUUUUGGUAUUUACUCAUCAAAGAGUAAGAGAAGAAUACACACCUAUAUUAUGAGCCAUAAGUAUAAGGAAAUGUCUUGCAGACGUUUACAAAUACUAUGUAGAAGGAAUCAGAGAUUCAAGCCAGUAUCUAUAAAUUUCAGACAGCAAACAGAAUGAUUCUUUGACACACUCAGUCUUUCCAAGAAAUAACUGAGUUCCCCAACCAACACCAGAAGUAGAGCAAGAAAAUGUUCGUGUUUCCCAUGAAGACACCACAGAGACAGGCUCAACUCUCCUGCCUCUACUUAGGCACUGUCUUGGAUAGGCGUGGUCUGGAGGAGGUAAACCUUGUCUAGUGAGUUGUCUGUGUUUGUGCAGGAAGCACCCAGGGAUGUUUGUUUUGUAAAAAUACAAAAGUAUACAUUUGGUUGUACAUGAUGGCUAUGUGACCAAGAAGAGAGUGUUUUCUUUGUGCUUAAUACACAAGUUUUAAACACACUUGUACACAAAACCAAAAACCAAGAUGUAACAUUACAGUGCCAGGACUCAAGGGGAAAUGUGCCAUUGGUCAGAAAGAAGAAUGAUUAUUUAACAAAUUCAUGCUUAUAUAAAAUAACUGAAUUCCCCACCCCACCCAACAGGGAGCUCCUCCCCUUGUGCAUGCAGACCCCACAGAGAGGUUCUGAGCUCAGAGGCUCCCUGCUGGUCCUGCCUUUGAUGUGCAUCGUCUGGAGGAGGAGACCCAUGUCCACAGCAUCAUCUACAGCAAGGCAGGAGGCACCCGGGGCUGCAUCUCCAGGUUUUCCCACCACUUG
rnacentral:lncRNA from 1 species